GAGUGCUCACAUCCUGGCGCUUGUCUGGGCACAACAGUAGUAUUGAGGGUUUUGAGAGAGAGAUUUGGUUAUUAUAUUCGACUGAAUCGAGUGGACAUUCAAUGGACAGUGGCCGAGUCUUUCUCGGGGUUUUGUUAAGAUCUCUUCUCCAUCGCUGACAAUGGGAGGAGCCGACUAACUUUACCCUUACUUCUAAGGUAUUGUUAUCAAAGACAGUAUAUAAGCUGGUCUUUGUCCGGCACAACAGAGUUCUCCUUCUCCCCCAUGCCAACCCAGACAACUCAUCAGUCGUCGUCACGUUCCCCUUAGAGCCCCGGAGGGUAGGAGGGAGCCGGAGAGGUGAAGGAGAAGAGGUGGCGAGGUGGGUCGCCUUCUUCAGCUCUUGAAAAUUUGGAUCUUUUUUAUUGGCAUUUGGUCGCAUUUGGGCUGGCGGGUUUGGGGAGAUCGGUUUAGACUUUUUUUUAUGAUCUUGGUUCCUCUAAAGUUUGCAUUUCCGGGUGGAUUUUCCGAAAAAGUUAGGAUCUUGGGCGCUUCUUCAACAAAAAGUGGAGAAUUUUGGGUGGAGUGUUCGCCAUGUUGCGUCUUGGAAUGUGGUGCUUGAGUUUUGAUUUGAAGAUUUGGGUUGUGAUUCAGUUUUGGGUCGUUGAAAUUAUAGACAUUGGAGUUGUAGUCGGGAAAAAGACAACUUGAAUAUUUGGAUCUCGUCUCGAAAGUUUGAUUUCAUGAGUUUUUGGAGACUUGGCUGUUAUCGAUUGGGCCUUCUAGGAAAAGAGUGGAUUUAUUUUUUGGAGCUUUUCGAAAUUUUUAUUCCUGCACGGAUUUAAAUUAUAUUUUUAAAGAGAGGUAUAUUUAAAAGUUUGAUUGGAUGCCAUAAGAUCUUGAGGACCUCUGGGUGCUGCUGAUUUCGAGAUCUUGUGAAAAGGAGGAAGCUUUGGAGCUUCUUUGUUUGUUAAAUGAGAGGAUUUUGAUUUUGGCCAUGGUGUUUUGAGUUCUUUAGGAGUGUUCAUGGAUCAUUUGGGAUUUUAGUUGAAAGGGAGGAAGUAGGGGCUGAAGCUUGGUGAAUUAUGGCCUCCAUUCCUAUGCCCUCUCCAUCAGUGCUCCCACCAUUGCCGUCUGCCUCUGCUCCACCACCACCUUCUUCCACUUCUCCUCGUCCUGCUGGUUCUCCGCCGCCGAAUUUUCUGCCCAAUGCCACCUCUGAACCACCGACAUCAUCGAAUGCACCACCUCCGGCAACUGCCCCUCCCCCUGCUUCCCCUGCUCCUCCCCCUUCCCCUCCUCCUUCGCCGCCGCCACCUGUUCCAUCUUCUCCACCGCCAGCUUCCCCUCCACCUGCAGCCUCGCCACCCCCACCUGCUGCCGCGUCCCCACCGCCAGCUUCCCCUCCACCUGCUUCUGCUUCUCCGCCGCCACCGAUAGUGUCAUCUCCUCCACCUCUUGCUUCUUCCCCACCUCCCACAUUAUCUCCUCCGCCACCUGCUGCGGCUUCCCCUCCACCAUCUCCCUUACCUUCAUCACCUCCAUCAACUCCUAAUUCACCUCCACCAUCUUCUAGCCCUCCGUCUGCAAUUGUCCCGCCACCAUCGCCCUCCAGGCCUCAACCGUCACCACCAUCGUCGGAUUCACCUCCACCGUCGCCAUUGGCGAAACCACCCGGGAGUUCACCUUCACCACCAGUUCGAUGGUCACCUCCUCCUUCUGUAUCCCCAGGCCCACCUUCCGAUCCAUCAGCAUCACCACCUUCUCUUCCUUCUCCUCCUCCAGGCAAUCCUUUUAAUGGUGCAAGUCCAUUUACCCCGGCUCCACCCUCUCCUCCUGCUUUUCCUGGUGGUUUACCCCCUCCUACCCCACCAUUGGAGGACAUAUCCAAGCCGAAUUCAUCACAAGGAGGUGGUGGGAUUAAAGCUGGUACUGCAGUAUCUAUUGCUGUGGUAUCUGUUCUGAUACUUAGUUUAGCAGGACUAGCCGUGUGGUUCACAAGGAAGCGUAAAAACCAGAUUGGUGGAUAUAAUGCAGGGCUUGUCCAGCCUUCACCAUUUGAAUCUUCAGAAAUGUCAGAUGCAUCCCAUCGAAGAUCCCCAUCAGCUCCUCUAGUAUAUCACCAUCAUACUGGAAGUCAAGGAGCAUUCAUGAAUUCACCAUCUGAAGCAGGGUUGGGCAAUUCAAAAUCAUAUUUCACAUAUGAAGAACUAUAUGAGAUAACCAAUGGCUUCUCGACCAAGAAUAUUUUAGGUGAGGGUGGAUUUGGUUGUGUUUACAAAGGAUGCUUCCUAGAUGGAAGGGAAGUGGCUGUGAAACAACUCAAAGUUGGUGGUGGACAGGGUGAGCGUGAGUUCAAAGCUGAAGUUGAGAUUAUCAGUCGUGUGCACCACCGUCAUUUGGUUUCGCUUGUCGGGUACUGCAUAGCAGAGAACCAAAGAUUGCUUGUCUAUGAUUAUGUGCCUAAUAAUACACUUCAUUAUCAUCUUCAUGGGGAAGGAAAGCCAGUUAUGGAUUGGCCAACCAGGGUUAAGGUUGCAGCUGGUGCAGCUCGUGGAAUAGCAUAUCUGCAUGAGGAUUGUCAUCCCCGGAUAAUUCAUAGAGAUAUAAAGUCCUCAAACAUUCUAUUGGAUAAUAGCUUUGAAGCUCAGGUUUCUGACUUCGGGCUCGCAAGGUUAGCUAUGGAUGCUUGUACACAUGUUACUACUCGUGUAAUGGGAACAUUUGGAUAUUUGGCUCCAGAGUAUGCAUCAACUGGCAAGCUGACUGAGAAAUCUGAUGUUUAUUCUUUUGGGGUUGUGCUCCUUGAGCUUAUCACUGGACGAAAACCUGUUGACUCAUCACAGCCUUUGGGUGAUGAGAGCCUUGUUGAGUGGCAAAGUUUACUACAAGAGAAAAUGCUUGGAAUCUUGCAAACUGAGCAAAUAUUUGGCAGCACACAAUGUGAAAAAUCCUUGACACCCAUUCUCCACUCCAAGGAAAUUACUGCCCAUAAAAAGUCCUGCUCAAGCAUAUGCACGACCAUUUCUGGGCCAUGCACUUGAAACUGGAGAGUUUGAAGAAAUACCUGAUCCUAGGCUUGAAAAGAACUAUAACCAAAGUGAGAUGUUUCAUAUGAUUGAAGCAGCUGCAGCAUGUGUCCGCCACUCAGGAGCAAUGAGGCCUCGAAUGAGUAAGGUUGUGAGAGUCCUUGAUAGCUUAGCUGACAAUGACCUUAACAAUGGUGUUAAACCGGGUCAAAGUGAACUCUUCAAUGCACCACAAUCAGCUGAAAUCAGACUAUUUCAGAGGAUGGCAUUUGGUAGUCAGGAUUACAGCACUGACUUCAGCCAAACUAGUUUCAGCCAAGCUAGUUGGAAGAGUCGAUCAGGGUUGUAAACAGGUUACUUUUUGGCCUUAACAUCGAGACUAUUUGUUUUCUCUUUUUCCUCUUUUUGUGUUAGUUAUUCUUUUAUACAGAAGGAUCGAUGUCUUAUGGAUUUUUCCGUAUUCUUUCUAUAGUUAAUAAAGUGUUGGCUUUUAAAUUU